rnacentral:rRNA from 1 species
UACGUAGGUGGCAAGCGUUGUCCGGAUUUAUUGGGCGAAAGAGCGUGUAGGCGGCCAUGCAGGUCAGCUGUGAAAAUCGAGGCUCAACCUCGAGACGUCGGUUGAAACCGCUUGGCUAGAGUCCGGAAGAGGAGAGUGGAAUUCCCCGGUGUAGCGGUGAAAUGCGCAGAUAUCGGGAAGAACACCCGUGGCGAAGGCGGGCUCUCUGGGACGGUACUGACGCUGAGA